GGUUCUGGCAUCGAUGAAGAACGCAGCGAAAUGCGAUAAGUAAUGUGAAUUGCAGAAUUCAGUGAAUCAUCGAAUCUUUGAACGCACAUUGCGCCCAUUAGUACUCUAGUGGGCAUGCCUGUUCGAGCGUCAUUACGACCCUUAAGCCUAGCUUAGUAUUGGGAACCUACGUGCGGCAGCUACCCUGUAGCUACCCUGUAGCUCCUUAAAGACAACGGCGGAGACGUGGAGUCCUCUGAGCUUAGUAACUUUUCUAGCUUCUGAAGGCGCCGCGGCCCCUGCCGUAAAACCCCCUACUCUUUAGUGGUUGACCUCGGAGCAGGUAGGAAUACCCGCUGAACUUAAGCAUAUCAAUAAGCGGAGGAAAAGAAACCAACAGGGAUUGCCUUAGUAACGGCGAGUGAAGCGGCAACAGCUCAAAUUUGAAAGCUGGCCUUCGGGUCCGCGUUGUAAUUUGUAGAGGAUGCUUUUGGUUAGGUGCCUUACGAGUUCCCUGGAACGGGACGCCUUAGAGGGUGAGAGCCCCGUACGUUUGGUUACCGAGCCUCUGUAAAGCUCCUUCGACGAGUCGAGUAGUUUGGGAAUGCUGCUCUAAAUGGGAGGUAAAUUUCUUCUAAAGCUAAAUACCGGCCAGAGACCGAUAGCGCACAAGUAGAGUGAUCGAAAGAUGAAAAGCACUUUGAAAAGAGGGUUAAAUAGCACGUGAAAUUGUUGAAAGGGAAGCGUU
rnacentral:rRNA from 1 species